rnacentral:lncRNA from 1 species
CGGGGUUCUAGCGAUUCUCCUACCUCAGCCUCCCAAGUAGCUGGGAUUACAGGCGCCUGCCACCACAUCCAGCUAAUUUUUUUGUAUUUUUAGUAGGGACGGGGUUUUGCCAUAUUGGCCAGGCUGGUCUUGAACUCCUGACCUCAGGUGACCCACCCACCUCGGCCUCCCAAAGUGGUAGGAUUACAGGCAUGAGCCACCGCGCCCGUCCUCCUCUUCUUUUUUCAUUCAUUAAACAUAUACAUAUACUCAACACUCCAAAGAGCCAAACCCUGUCCUAUGCCCUGUAGUCCCGCUUUUUCUUCCACCCCUCCCCAGAAUUCUGCUGCACUAAGUCAAUGUUUUUGAGAAACUUGCACCGUGGUAGAAACGGGGAUGUAAAGUGGUUUUCUAUAAUACAACUAAUUAAAUGCCAUUGACAGGAAAAAUGUAUCAAGAAAAAAAAAGUUCUGGGGGCCUAUGGGAAGAAAUGACUAUUGGAAGAAAUAAGUUUGAAGCAAAACCCAAGUUUCCAGAUGCAGAGCCCAGAGCCGAGCAGCUUUCAGUGCAAGGUGGAAUGUGUUGGGGAGGCAGCCUCCUCUGAGAUGGCUCCUCCCUGCUUUCAAAAAUUUCUGAAGUAGUAGCUACAGCAAAAGAAAAAUAUAAGUCCCCUUUAAGGAGCUGGAUCUCAUUCAAAUGCCAAAGCCCUAUUAAGGGGCAGCUAUGAACAAGUCUCGGGUACAGUGGCCUGCGUCAAGGAAAUCUAACAGGUGUAAACCAAAAAAGCAUCUGAGAUAGGUCUCAACCAAUUUAGGGGUUAUUUUGCUAAGGUUGAGGAUGCACCCAGGAAAAAGACACACAAGCCACAGUAGGAUCCGUGGCUCGCACUUUUACCAAAGAGGGUUUUGAGGGCUUCAAUUUAAUGGGGAGAAAGCUGGCAGGAGGGGAAGGAGGAGAGAAGAGGGAGGGUAUGUGGUGAGGUAAGUGGCCACAUUCUUGUGAGGAUUUGAUUAGAGCUCACUGAAUCCACAUGUUGCACGUGAAAAGAGGAAGUCAAUUAUGAAUUUGUCUCGUGCUCAGUAAAUCUGCAUUUUACACAAGAUAAGGUAGACAUACAGUAGAGGAAGAAGUCAAAUAUGCUUUGUCUCUGGGUGGGUGGAGGAACGAUUUCUAGUCUUGUCCGGUGAAGCUCGGCUGUUCGUUUCCAUUGCCAGGGUGAGGGAGGCCACCUGGGGGCAUAUGUUGCUUUCUAUCUUGCAGCUAUCGGUUUAGGAACAAAAGGAAAAGCAGUUUUUUUCCGUGACUCAGUUUCCAAGCUUAACUUUUCCCUUUGUCAUAGUAAGUUUGGGGUCCUGAGAUUUUAUUUUCCUUUCACACAGGGAAGGAGGUGGAACGCAUCAGAGGCCACGAAAGGAGCACAAAGGGGGACCGCUGGCCUAAGACAAAGGAGGCGCGAGGAAAAACGCGGAGCUCGCGUCUCCCAGGGUGAUGCCCGGCGCCGCUGGCCCCAGCAAAACUUCUCUACCCCGGCCUCGGGCAGGUGCCCGCCCGGGGAGGGGGCUGUCGUCCAGGCCAGGUACAACUCCCCUUCCCACCCUUCACUCCCUACCCAAGGGUCUCGAGAAAAGAGAAGAGGAACAUCAAGACCCCCCUCCACGGCACGUGACGCGACGCAACGCAGGUAGCGCAGCGCGGGCACCACGGGCAACCCAAACCCCUCUCCACACACAACCGCGGAGCUGCCUGCCAGGCCUGCUCACUGCAGAGCCGCCGCUGCCUGCGGGACGGGCAAAAGCCAAGCCGCCAGGUGGACCUCGGGGAAGCCGCCGCCAACACUCACCUCACAGGACCAGGAGGUUCCAUCGGGGCGCUGCCGCGAAUCGCGCCACUUACAGCCCUCACCCCAGGGGCAGGUUUGCGCCUGCGCAGGUCGCAGCCUCGGCCUCCAACUCCCAGAAUCCUCCUCGCCGCCGGCUUCCGUUCGCGGACUUUGGCCCAGGCGCGUGGGCGCUGCCGAGAGGCUGGGAGCCCGGGAACCGGUUCCUGGACUUGAGCGGAGCGAGAAAGAGCGCGCCGCCUGCACGACUGGACUGGAGCGGCCGGGUGCCCUGGAGGCCCCUGGGAAUUGCAGUCCUUGCGCAGGUGGAGAGUGAGCCCUUAUGAGAAAACUCAAGACUCAGAAACAAUAAAGGUUACAGAGAUGAAAUUGACAGAGCCUGAAUUUCAGGUUAUGAUUCUGUAUGGUUUCUUUGGUGCUGCAUUAGACCUGAGCUCUGAUUGAAAAUUCUUCCACGCUCGCUACAUUCCAAAACUUUAUCUCCAAUAUGAAUUUCCAGAUGCCUCACAAGGUCUGAGCUCCAUCUGAAGGCUUUCCCAUGCUUGUCACAUUCAUAGGGCUUUUCUCCACUAUGAAUUCUAUGAUGUCGAAUAAAGUGUGAGCUCUGAU